GACGAACGCUGGCGGCGUGCUUAACACAUGCAAGUCGAACGCUGAAGCACCAGCUUGCUGGUGUGGAUGAGUGGCGAACGGGUGAGUAAUACGUGAGUAACCUGCCCUUGACUCUGGGAUAAGCCCGGGAAACUGGGUCUAAUACUGGAUGCUACAUGUCACCGCAUGGUGGUGUGUGGAAAGGGUUUACUGGUCUUGGAUGGGCUCACGGCCUAUCAGCUUGUUGGUGAGGUAAUGGCUCACCAAGGCGACGACGGGUAGCCGGCCUGAGAGGGUGACCGGCCACACUGGGACUGAGACACGGCCCAGACUCCUACGGGAGGCAGCAGUGGGGAAUAUUGCACAAUGGGCGAAAGCCCGAUGCAGCGACGCCGCGUGAGGGAUGACGGCCUUCGGGUUGUAAACCUCUUUCAGCAGGGAAGAAGCCACAAGUGACGGUACCUGCAGAAGAAGCGCCGGCUAACUACGUG
rnacentral:rRNA from 1 species